GGUCCAGCAUCGAACUCCAGACCGUGUCUCCAAUCGGGGUUCCAUCACGUGGAGCCUGUUCUCCCUGUGUCUGCGUGGGUUCUCCAGAGACAAGCAGUAAAGUUAAUGAGUGACCCUAAACUGCCUGCGGGUGCGAGUCUGUGACGGUUUCUCAGGGAUUCAGAGAAUGGACGGACGGCACAACGGCGCUGCUGUGUGUGCAGCUCCGGCCCACAGAGAAGCGUGAGCGCCGACGCAUUGGUUUCCACCACCUGGAGAAGAGCAACGGGGAGGAAUCCACCAGACUUCAAGCCUAAUGUGGUUAUCGACAGCCAUCAGAGGCGACGAGGGCGGAGUGAAAGCGUCAGGAUGAGAUGAGGACAGAGCGAACAGAGAGGAACGGCAUCGGAGGCUUAAACGAACAAAGGGAUAAAAGCAGCAGCCACUGGGCCAGAGAGGAUCAUAAAGGCACAAAUGGAAAAGGUUUGCAGAGAAAGACCAGCUGACGGAGAGGAAGAAGCAGCAGGAAAACGCAGCAGGAGGAAGCGGAAGAGCGCGUAUUAGUGGUGGCAGGCGCGCGUGGAGUUAAUGGGCUUUCGCCGCUUCCUGUCAUCCCGGUGCCUUUUGAACCGUGGCCUUUGCAUACAGAAAGAUCAUUAACUCUCCUCCGUCUCCUCCGGGAGACGAACCCGCAUCCGCACAGAGUCGGUCAUUCUGCUGAUGGAGACGCUGCAUUCUGCCUUCACCUCCACUGAGAUUACACUGACUGGCACCAAACGGACCGGGCCAGAAUCAAAGAAAAUAUGGGUCGGACGGUGUUUGACCUCUUUCACUCUGCAUCGGCUACGCAGCUCGUUACCACCUUUACCUUCCACACACUGAAGCACCUGAUUUACCAGAAUUUUCAGAAGUAAAUACGAUGUCACCACUUGGUCUCGCGUGAAACGUCCAGAGAAGCAGGAACUGGAGCUACGAGCUCCUCACAUCUCUGUCAGACCAGUGCAGAGAGCCUGAACGUCUCAUGACCAGGAACCAUGUGUCACUGUCAGUCUGAUGCAGAGUGAGGUCUUGCUCUUGUUUCAGCCCCUGAACGUUAUGAGUCUCAUGUAUUAUCAUGGAUCCAUGAGGUGUCCUGUAAUUACACCACAAAGUUAACAGAACAGACAAUUUCAUCCGAAAAUAAGGAAUCCUACUGAACUUGAACUAAUCAUAUGACUGACGUUGAUCAGUCAUAUGAUUAGUCAUUUACUGCAGACUUUUAAACCAUGAUGAAUGUUAACUCUGGGUUCUACAGUACAAACAUCUGCUACAACUCCACUCUGAAUCUUAAACCUGGAACCUUCUCACGCCAAACUUAAGCCUCGCAAACAGCAGCAUGUUCGUGUCAAACACCAGCGUGAGACGUGUCUGCUGGACGGAAGCUCCGUUUAGCUUGUUUUUUAAUUGGCAAAACAAAGUGACUGGAGCAAGUUUAUUAGAAGUUUAGCUCCAAACAGAAAGCGUCACAGAGCGUUUCUGAGCAGGAGACUGAGCUGAAUGUGCUGAUCUCAGUCCAGUUCAACAUCCCAGUGACCCAGUGGCAGCUCGCCGUCUGCUGGGCUCUAACCAGCAUCAGCUGCUCAGGUUGGGACUUAGUGUCACAAUGUGGUUCCUGUUCUUUUAACAAAAUCACCCAAACUCCACAUCUGAUCCCCUGGAUAUGAUCUGAGUUUCCUCUGAAUGAAACCUACACAAACCUUCUAGCAUUCAUGAACGUGGGCCAAUAACUGGCGUGGACCCUUCAGCUGUUUUCCAUCAAAGGUAAUCAUUGGUUCCUCAGUGCGUGAACGCUGUGGGUGAAAUGGAAGGGAGGAUAAUUAUUCCUAAUACGAUUACAGUAAUAAUACAACAGCACAUGAUUCAUGAAGGAAUUUAUAGAAAUAUUACACAGAACCCUGCUUCCGUUUCGCUGCUCGUUAAUAAAAAAAGAGAGUUUUCGGGUGCGCGUCGAAGGUAAAGGCGCAGCAAAGUAGCCGCAUAACUGAGGAGAAAGUGUGCGCAAAGUCUGGCGGCGCAACAGCGCAAACGGGGGGACCGCUUCACUGACCUGUUUGACUGCGAGGACGUUGGUAUGAGAACGUGUAUGGGAGCGAUACUAGCCACUAGCUAGAAUAACAACAUGUGUUCUGUGCAUGAUCUACCGGACUUCCUGCAGACCGGUCCAAUGGGCUGCUGUCAGUCUGCUCCCUCUCAAUGCGCUGACUCUGCAGGACCUCUGCCACCUUCACCUCUCUCUCUCUCUCUCUCUCUCUCUCUCUCUCUCUCUCUCUCUCUCUCUCUGUGCCUAGGGAUGACUGGAUCUGUGCCAGCUGGGUCUGCACCUUGGACAAGGACUGCUCCAGGUCAACCUUCUCGGACUCGAGGGUCACGAUUUAAGUGCUUAACAGCCCAUUUGAAGCCUCAUACUGUAUUUGCAGAUCUGACUCUGUUGUUGUUGUUGUUGUAUUAAUAUUAAUCCUUCUCAUGAUUCCAUAUACUACUUACACUUACUUCUGAUGCUUUUCAUUUUCAAUCUAUAUUGUGCUCAUUCCUUGAAUAUGCUGGCUGUGUUGUAAUGCAUUGUUUUCUAGCUUAGCAACCUAAUAAUUUCUUCUGACUAACUCAAACUGCUGCUAAUGACGUUCAACCUUUUGAAAGCAACCUCAAGAAUUAAAGCACUUGAAGAGUUGCCCUGUGUCCCUUGCCGCUCAUUUGUCAUUCAAGCCCCUUUUUCAGGUUUAGGCAGUUUGGAAGCUAAAAAACCCAGAAAACCUGCCAGGCUCCACCUGGCUAUAAGUUUAGAAAAGCCAUGGAUGUUUAGUUGCCAUGGAGACAGGAUCUAGCCUUAGCUAUUAGGGUACCAGUGAGGCAGAUAAGUGUGUAGUUAGUUUCUGCCAGCGUGUUGUGGAGCCAUUCAGGGCAGCACCGUUAUGGGACCACUGAUAAAUCUUUUAUCUGUCCAGUUUUAUUGCAGGUGUCAGCGCGUAUGUGCACCGUCUGACGCGUGGGAAAGGAAAUCUGACGGCGCUCUCCUCACAAUCUGUUCACUGCAUCGACUGUCAGAUUCGCUGUGUUGUCUCACUGUGGAGACACAGACACAGAUGUCCUUCGUUGAACGUCUGGACCUCCAAUGCUCCAUGUUUCUCUUCUGUGGUGCUCUGAUUGUGAA